GUGGAUGCCAUUCUGUCUCCACUGCCGGGGCUAUGGGCACUGGACACAAAAAUGCAGAAGGAGUGAAAACAAAGAUCGGGGGGAAUGGAACAAAUCCAUCACAGUAGUGCCGCCUCCGGUAAACGCAGGCGAGCCCAUCACCGGCAAUGCACGGAAAACCCAAAAAACAAAUCCCCGACAAAAUCAAAAUCCAAAAAAUAGGAGACGCCGUUACGUACCAUAUCACAUCCCAGACGUCGGGUCAGAAUGGAAUAUCGAACUGUCCGCCCAGAACACGCGAAGUACGAAGGACCUCCCGAAAUCCAACAAAUGAUCGUAGAGACAGGCGCCACCCCUCCAUCCGAUGUGAUUGUGCCCGUUGUGCCCACUUCGGUCGUGCUGUUGGAAAAUCUCCCGCAAAAUGAAAUUAUAAUGCCUCAAAUCAUAAUGGAGCCCAGUCCGAAUAAAGACCCGAUUACGCCAAAGGGGCUGGACCAGGAGAAGCAGAGCUCCCCGCCAAAAUCAUCG
rnacentral:lncRNA from 1 species